AAUGAACGCUGGCGGUAGGCCUAACACAUGCAAGUCGAACGGCAGCACAGUAAGAGCUUGCUCUUACGGGUGGCGAGUGGCGGCCGGGUGAGGAAUACAUCGGAAUCUACUUUUUCGUGGGGGAUAACGUAGGGAAACUUACGCUAAUACCGCAUACGACCUACGGGUGAAAGCAGGGGAUCUUCGGACCUUGCGCGAUUGAAUGAGCCGAUGUCGGAUUAGCUAGUUGGCGGGGUAAAGGCACACCAAGGCGACGAUCCGUAGCUGGUCUGAGAGGAUGAACACCCACACUGGCACUGAGACACGGUACAGACUCCUACGGGAGGCAGCAGUGGGGAAUAUUGGACAGUGGGCGAAAGCCUGAUCCAGCCAUACCGCGUGGGUGAAGAAGGCCUUCGGGUUGUAAAGCCCUUUUGUUGGGAAAGAAAAGCAGCAGGUUAAUACCCCGCUGUUCUGACGGUACCCAAAGAAUAAGCACCGGCUAACUUCGUG
rnacentral:rRNA from 1 species